UACGAAGGGGGCUAGCGUUACUCGGAAUUACUGGGCGUAAAGCGUGCGUAGGUGGUCGUUUAAGUCCGUUGUGAAAGCCCUGGGCUCAACCUGGGAACUGCAGUGGAUACUGGGCGACUAGAGUGUGGUAGAGGGUAGCGGAAUUCCUGGUGUAGCAGUGGAAUGCGUAGAGAUCAGGAGGAACAUCCAUGGCGAAGGCAGCUACCUGGACCAACACUGACACUGAGGCACGAAAGCGUGGGGAGCAAACAGG
rnacentral:rRNA from 1 species